rnacentral:lncRNA from 1 species
UGAGGGAGCGGCGCGGCCCGGCCCAGGGUGGCAGCGGGCGGGGGGGGGCGAGGCCGGAUCGCCGGGGCCGCGGGAGUGCCGCAGCGCCGAGUCACGGCGGCGUGGGGUGGGGUGGCGCUGCCGGGGCGGUGGGUGACCGCGUCGGGAGCGGGAGGGCCCUGGGCAUGUCCCGGGCGCCCUUCGGGUGGGAAGCGGGUGCAGCGACCGUCGGGCUAUCGGGGGGCGAGGGGGACGUGCGGUGUCGACGCGUCCUUUUUCCGCUCCGGGGCCCUCAUUUUUCCCUUUUUUCAGGGACCCCAGGCACGUAGGUUACAGGGACGCGUGUUGGUGUCUGCUCGGUGCCUGCAGACUUGGAUUCUGUGCGCCUUACAGGCCAGCCGGAACAACAAAAAAAGACCGCAGUAUUCUAGAAAUGGUUGAAGUACCAAAGAUGUGAAAGCCAGAAGCCUGGUGGCUGUACUUAUUGGUUGGAAGAAGGGUUCGCCGGAGUCAAGAAGACGCUCAAUAUGAGAUAUGCAUCUUGCUCACCUUUAUUAGUUUCUAACACUACUUAUAUAGAACCGAUACACAUGCAUAUUUGUAAAGCAGAAAUAAAAUUGGUUAGUAGUCUCUAAACAUGCGUGGUUCUCACACCCCUAAUUAUCAUGACUAAAAUAAGCAUUCUAUCCAUGUAGCUAAUUGAGUUGCUGUGCUUCAGCCUUGUAGUUUGUUACUCCCUAUUUUCCCAUACGGGUCCCCAUCUUUCUUGGCCCUGCACCUGCUUUCCCAGCAGCUGUAGCUUGUUACAGCCACGGCCUGUUGGCACAACAUAAUUACUUGGUCUCAGGAUUCAAGAAUAGCUCAAGGCUACCUUCUUGUUAACUUCCGCACAGCAACUUCAGCACAAUUCUGAUUACAGGCCUAUUCUAAUACCAGGCCUGGAUUGUGCAGAUCUUCAGAGAUUCUAAGGCCACGCUUCUGCAGCCAUUCUUCUGCACUUAUUACUAAUUUUUGAAGGACACGGAGAACUACAGAUUGGCAGACUAGUCUGCUUCCUUUUGAUUUCCUGAAAAAAAUCUGGAACAAAAGCUGUUUGUAAGCAUCUAGAAUAUAAUAGCUGAGUAAAAGACAGCAUCAAUUUGUCAAGGACAAAUUUUUGAAGUAAUUAACUAAUUUCAGUGGUAGGUCUACUGUAUACGAGAGGAUCAGUUGAUGUCUUAUAUUUGGUCUUUAAUAGGACUUCUGAUUCUGUUUCUUAGUAUGCUUUUCCUUGGGAAGAACAGUUGGGAAUAGCUACUGUUGUGAUUAAGGAGGCCAGUUCCUUGUCAACUACUUUUCAUGAUUGUCACAAAGAGUUUCCAUCGUGAAAUAAUGUGAUUAUUAAAACUUAGAGGCGUAAAGCUAAAAGGGAUUGUAGACCAUUUUGUGUGUGGUAGUGGAAAUCAAAAUGCCCUGAAGAUUCAGAAGCCUGUGGGAGGGGAAAGGGUACAAAUGCAUAGAGUUUUGUGCCUGCGCUUAAGCAGGAACACCCAGCUACACAAACAUGGGAUCGAGAACAGUGUUGCGUUUCUUAGAGGGAAAUAAUUUGGAAAGCCUAAUAAGCUGACUACAUGAAGGGGACAUCACACAGGUUAUACUUCUAUUUAUCCAUUUCAGUAAGCCAUGUGAAGCAACGUUCACCCUCAGUACAGGCCUUCUCAGGCAUUGGCUGGGAUACUGCGUAGGUUCCAGCACACUGUAGAAGGAAUUGGGUAAGCUGGGGAGACAGUCAUGGGCAACAAUGAGAAAUCUGCAGAAAGUGUUAUAUUAGACUGACUGGAAAGAAAUGAAGCACCAAUUACAUUAGUCUGCAAAAUGAAAAAUCUGCUGGUAAAAUAUUUCCCUGCAGAGCUUUAAAAGACUAAAACUGGUACAGUCUGAUCUGGGAUUUCUGAUUAAAGGGGUACUGGACUCCAUGUUACUGAGACCAAGGCCUUUUCCUCACAGAUACACUUUUUUUUUUUUAAACUUUUCUUUAAGGAGAUGUUACUGGACUGUCUUUGUUGUUAAAUUUGGUGCUAUAUAAAAGCUCCAAGAAAAUGUCUUUUUUUUCAUUCCCUGCUGCUGCAUUUAGUAACUUGAGUAUUUCUGCAACAGACAGGAUAGUUAGUUCAUUUGUAAUGUAGAUAGUCAUGAGUGUGCUUAGUCUUCAGCCUGGCAAGGUAAUUUAAUACUGUUGAUAGUGGGGAGUCUCCAAGGGAAUUAGGUGUGAACUGAGCCAUUUAUGGUGCUUGCCAAGAGUUAUUAGCAGGGUUUGGACUCUAGAGGAGUUUGUGUCAGAAUUUUGGAAUGAAUUUCCUACAUGGGGGUAACCAAACACUUCCAUUCAAAAAAUUAAAAACUCUCUGAUUUUGUCUAUAUCUGCAACAAAGCACAAAAAUCCUAAGCCUACACAAGAGCAUGUCCUUCCUUUUCACUGGUUAAAUUGCACUUCCAGUGCCACUGUUUCAUCUUUGAUCCUGUUUGUAUUAGUCUGUAGCUGCCUUGCUCUCCAGAAACAAGAGCGUGUCAACAGACACUCUUCCUUUCAGAGUGAGGAAUUCUGUUACUUUUUGUCAUUGGUUCAUAGGAGCAUCUUUGAAGCAGCUGAAGGUUGUGCAGUACAAGGGAACUCUUCUGAAGUAGUUCACUGAUCUCAGGAGAACAUUCUUUAUGGGUUGUGAAUCUCAAGUUCACUGAUCUCAAGAGAGA